GUUCCGGUGUCGCGUUGGCAGCGGGGACGCCCCGCGCAUGCGCAGCGCGGCCGGGCCCGGAGCGGAGCCGGGGGUCCCGCGGCCGCCAUGACCAACGUGUACUCGCUGGACGGGCUGGUGGUGUUCGCGCUGCUGCUGGUGUGCACGUGCGCCCACCUGCGGCACGUGCCCCGCGCCCGCGCCUGGCUCCUGCGCGAGAAGCGCGGCCUGUGGGGAGUCUGCUACAAGGCCGCCGUCAUCGGCACGCGCCUGCACGUGGCGGUGGCCGUGGCCUGUGUGCUCAUGGCCUUCUACGUGCUGGUGGUGAAGUGACCCCCCGGGACCACCCACGCAGCGAUGCAGAGCCCGGGGCCGCCCCCCGGCGCCCCACAGCCGGCCUGGGCCUGCCGGGGGGGCCCUGGGGAGCCGCCACGGCCCAGAGCCCUGCUCAGAGCCCCCUUGGGGGGCACCUCCGCACCCCCGGGGUGCGCAACGGGACCGGGGGCGCCUCCUCCUGAUGCUGAACCCAGUGGCUCGUGGGGGGGACGCUGCAGCCUCCCUCCAUGGGGACUUGUGGGGCUGGGCCCCCCCCGCCGGCGGGAUGUCCCCCCAUGGGGGGUCUGUCCCCUGUGGCCGUGGAUUUGUCACCCCCAGAUUGGGAAUGCUGGAAAUAAAGCGGGGGCCCCCCUGCGGGCAGCA
rnacentral:lncRNA from 1 species